GACAGAGGGGGCAAGCGUUGCUCGGAAUCACUGGGCGUAAAGGGCGCGUAGGCGGGAUGGCAAGUCAGUCGUGAAAUCUCUCGGCUCAACCGAGAAACGUCGGCUGAUACUGCCGUUCUUGAGGGAUGCAGAGGAGACUGGAAUUCCCGGUGUAGCGGUGAAAUGCGCAGAUAUCAGGAGGAACACCGAUGGCGAAGGCAGGUCUCUGGGCCGGAUACUGACGCUGAGGAGCGAAAGCGUGGGGAGCGGACAGG
rnacentral:rRNA from 1 species